UAGUACCAUUUUCGUGUAUCUAUGUUUCUGUUUUCGAUCGGUGACUUUCUUCGAACAGUUGACGACGGGCUUUUUUGUGGUUUCUGUAUUUGAUUUGGGCAUUUUGUCGAACAAUUGAUAGGCUUACUAGCGAGAACAAAUUGACGCAUUUGUUACUGUAUGGGCCUCCCGGGAUGGGCAAGAUGUCGACGAUUCUUGCAGUGGCCCGGAAACUAUACGGGACGCAGAUGCAGAACAUGGUCUUGGAGCUGAAUGUGUCGGACGAAUGUGGGAUCGGUGUUGUUAGGCAACAGAUUCAUGAUUUUGCUAGCACUCAGAGCUUCUCUUUUUGAUGGUAAGUGCAUGAAGACCAUUAUCGUGGAUGGAGGUAGUCAAGUUGAAGUCCAAGUAUGAUGAGAAGGGUCAACCUUGGUGAUGGAUCAGAAAUUAAAGAGAGACAUGGGGAUAAGAAGAAGAAAAACUAUUUCUACCAUAGCAUUCUACCAAAUUUUGGAUGUCAAUCUCUUUUCCCUCUUCGUGAGGCUAAGAUAUCAAAUGACCAACCCCAAAAAAUUUCAAUCACUUCAUACCAAAACUGCAGCUCUAUUUCCCUCUCUAAUCACUGCAUAACGGAUAUCAGAUGCAUGGCUUCUAAUGGUUAGAUAUUGAGUUCCUUCCCUCUAUGAACUAUUACUUUUACAUUACAUGUAGUUGAGUUAAUUGCAAUUGGUUGAAAUGUAUGAUCAUGCCAACUUUUCCUAGACUCUCAACUUCAGAAGGCGGCUUUUUAUUUGGGAGGACAACAAGGCUUGAGUAAUUUUCGAUUGAACUCAAGUGGGAUAGUAAAUCUGGCUUGUUCUUUGUUAAAUCAUUCUAUGGGAAUGGGAAGAGCUCUAUAAUGCAGAUAAUCACAUUGGUGCACUUAGUGUGAAGAACUGGAAAAACCUCUGCCCUUUCAAGUUGAACUCUUUACCUGGCCAGCAAUGCAAAAGGAAUAUUGCUCUGAAUGAAAAUUAAUUAACACGUAUGUCUUCUUUCUGUAUGCAAAUGCUUGAAACCCCUGUUCACCUUUUAAUGCAGUGUAGAGUACCAUGGUUUAUUUGGUCUAAAAUCUUGCAAUGGUGGGGCUUUGUAUGGGUUUGUCUUGCAAGUUUAUAUGAUUUAAUGUGUUGGUGGUUUUCCAAUAAAUUCAUUACACCUCAUCUAUUUAUACACACACCAUCAUGUGUAAAUGCUGUCAUGAGAUCGCCUCUGUUUAUGGAAGUAGGGUUCAUGUUGACCAAACUGAUGGGAUGUAUUUACAAAGGUUGUCGCUAGAAUGUGCACUAUUUUAUGACUUUCAAUAGUUAUGAACUCUACACCAUCACUACAACAAUUAUGACUUUCAAUAGCAUUAACUGAUAGUGAUUUUUUUAGAAAUGCUAUGAUAGAGAAGCAAUUAUAGUGUUUUGUAAUAAGAAGGGGAGGAAACGCAGAAGCAACUACCCUCUAACAGAGAGAGAGGCUAUUCUAGUCUAAAAAACUUUGCUUGUUUUAGUAUGUUUUGUAUGCUUUAGAGCUGCUAUUAGUUGGAUUUUGUGCUUUAAGUUCCUUUUUAACCCAGGACCUUGUUACACAUAAUCUGACACUUAAGCCACUUUUUUUUCACCCUAUAAGCGUAUAUGCCUUUUCUCACCUGCUUUUGUCUUAAAUUACUGAAGGAUGGCCUACUAUCGAAACUGAAGAGAGUAAGUGCAGAAUCAUAACACCACAAGAGUGGUAUUUGACCACAUCCGUGAAAAGCAAAGAGCUUCCCAUCAUUGGCUACAUCAAGUAAUGCUUUCUCCCCAUCAUCUGAGGCCUUGCUCCGUACAAGAAAACGGACUCGUUAGAAGCACCUUGAGCACAGAUAUGCCA